UAUCCAAGCAAACAAGGAGCUGAUUCGGUGUGUCAUCCUUUCUCGAAUUGCUUUUGGGGAAGAACACUGGAAAUGUGCACAGGCUUUGACCAACCUGGCUUAUGGCUACCUGGUACUAAGAGGCCUCCCAGCUCAGGCCAAGAAACAUGCUGAAUCUGCCAAGAACAUACUGUUGACCUGGAAGGGAAAUGCGUCCUCAGACAAGGAGAAAAAGGAAAUCCUGGAAGCUCUGAUCAUGCUCAACUACACUCUGGGGGUGAUCUGGCUCCUACAGAACCAAUAUCCUUUCAUUUUCAGAAGGGUCUGGUGAUCAGGACCACAGGGUAUACCCUCCAGGAGGGUCAUCGUGGGAGGGUGGGAGGUGACAUU
rnacentral:lncRNA from 1 species